rnacentral:rRNA from 1 species
CCUACGGGGUGCAGCAGUGGGGGAUAUUGCACAAUGGGGGAAACCCUGAUGCAGCGACGCCGCGUGUGGGAAGACGGUCCUCUGGAUUGUAAACCACUGUCCCCAGGGACGAAGAUGACGGUACCUGGGGAGGAAGCUCCGGCUAACUACGUGCCAGCAGCCGCGGUAAUCCGUAGGGAGCGAGCGUUGUCCGGAAUUACUGGGUGUAAAGGGAGCGGAGGCGGGGAUGCAAGUUGGGUGUCAAAACUACCGGCUCAACUGGUAGUCGAACUCAAAACUGCAGCUCUUGAGUGAAGUAGAGGCAGGCAGAAUUCCAAGUGUAGCGGUGAAAUGCGUAGAGAUUAGGAGGAACACCAGUGGCGAAGGCGGCCUGCUGGGCUUUUACUGACGCUGAGGCUCGAAAGUGUGGGGAGCAAACAGGAUUAGAUACCCUUGUAGUC